GACGAACGCUGGCGGCGUGCUUAACACAUGCAAGUCGAACGGAAAGGCCCUGCUUUUGUGGGGUGCUCGAGUGGCGAACGGGUGAGUAACACGUGAGUAACCUGCCCUUGACUUUGGGAUAACUUCAGGAAACUGGGGCUAAUACCGGAUAGGAGCUCCUGCUGCAUGGUGGGGGUUGGAAAGUUUCGGCGGUUGGGGAUGGACUCGCGGCUUAUCAGCUUGUUGGUGGGGUAGUGGCUUACCAAGGCUUUGACGGGUAGCCGGCCUGAGAGGGUGACCGGCCACCUUGGGCCUGAGGUACGGCCCAGACUCCUACUGGAGGCAGCAGUGGAGAAUAUUGCACAGUGGGCGGACGCCUGAUGCAGCAACGCCGCGUGCGGGAUGACGGCCUUCGUGUUGUAAACCGCUUUCGCCUGUGACGAAGCGUGAGUGACGGUAAUGGGUAAAGAAGCACCGGCUAACUACGUG
rnacentral:rRNA from 1 species